rnacentral:rRNA from 1 species
GAUGAACGCUGGCGGCGUGCCUAAUACAUGCAAGUCGAGCGAACGGACGAGAAUCUUGCUUCUCUGAUGUUAGCGGCGGACGGGUGAGUAACACGUGGAUAACCUACCUAUAAGACUGGGAUAACUUCGGGAGACCGUAGCUAAUACCGGAUAAUAUUUUGAACCGCAUGGUUCAAAAGUGAAAGACGGUCUUGCUGUCACUUAUAGAUGGAUCCGCGCUGCAUUAGCAAGUUGGUAAGGUAACGGCUUACCAAGGCAACGAUGCGUAGACGACCUGAGAGGGUGAUCGGCCACACUGGAACUGAGACACGGUCCAGACUCCUACGGGAGGCAGCAGUAGGGAAUAUUCCACAAUGGGCGAAAGCCUGACGGAGCAACGCCGCGUGAGUGAUGAAGGUCUUCGGAUCGUAAAACGCUGUUAGUAGGGAAGAACAUAUGUGUAAGAAACUGUGCACAUCUUGACGGUACCUAAUGAGAAAGCCCCGGCUAACUACGUG